UGUAUGACUCUUGGCAAUGGAUAUCUUGGCUCUUGCAUCGAUGAAGAGCGCAGCGAAAUGCGAUACGUGGUGUGAAUUGCAGAAUCCCGUGAACCAUCGAGUUUUUGAACGCAAGUUGCGCCCGAGGCCAAUUGGUUGAGGGCACGUCCGCCUGGGCGUCAAGC
rnacentral:rRNA from 1 species